CGGAUUAUUAAUAACCCAGAAGGCUAGUGUCCCUAUAUUCAACAACAACUAAAACUAAGCAUUAAUCCUAAACUAGUUAGAGUUGAAUCAUUUUUUACCAUUCAGCUCUAUUUGAGGCCAAUUCUGCAGUGUCCAUGAAUAUAAUAUUUAGACAUUUUAGAGUAUCCCUAAACAUUAAGAACGAUAACAAAAACCCUGUCCAGAUUGCCAGACUGCAUUUGACCCAUAAAAUGCCAUUUAUCCUUGCACAAAAGCUUGUACCUCAGUAAAACACUGGGAAAAAAAUGUCUAAUUUUCCACUCUAUAUAGUCCGUCCUCUCGCCAAAUACAGCAAUAAUUUCUUCUAACAUCUUAAAAUGUAUGUGUGUGUGCACGCACAUAUGACUUAGCGAGAGACUGUGUGAUAAAGACAAACAACACAAUUUGGAUAUCGAACAAGAACUUACAUGAACAAGAGAAUCUAAGAA
rnacentral:misc_RNA from 1 species